rnacentral:rRNA from 1 species
GAUGAACGCUGGCGGCGUGCCUAAUACAUGCAAGUCGAGCGAACGGACGAGAAGCUUGCUUCUCUGAUGUUAGCGGCGGACGGGUGAGUAACACGUGGAUAACCUACCUAUAAGACUGGGAUAACUUCGGGAAACCGGAGCUAAUACCGGAUGAUAUUUUGUACCGCAUGGUUCAAAAGUGAAAGACGGUCUUGCUGUCACUUAUAGAUGGAUCCGCGCUGCAUUAGCUAGUUGGUAAGGUAACGGCUUACCAAGGAAACGAUGCAUAGCCGACCUGAGAGGGUGAUCGGCCACACUGGAACUUAGACACGGUCCAGACUCCUACGGGAGGCCGCAGUUGGGAAUCUUCCGCCAUGGGCGGAAGCCUUACGGAGCAACGCCGCGUGGGGGAUGAAAGUCUUCGGAUCUUAAAACUCUGUUAUUAGGGGAGAACAUAUGUGUAGGUAACUGUGCACAGCUUGACGGUACCUAGUCAGAAAGGCACGGCUAACUUCGUG